rnacentral:rRNA from 1 species
GACGAACGCUGGCGGCGUGCUUAACACAUGCAAGUCGAACGGUAAGGCCCUGCUUUUGUCUGGUGCUCGAGUGGCGAACGGGUGAGUAACACGUGAGUAACCUGCCCUUGACUUUGGGAUAACUUCAGGAAACUUGGUCUAAUACCCGAUAGGAGCUUCUGCUGCAUGGUGUGGGUUGGAAAGUUUCGGCGGUUGGGGAUGGACUCGCGGGUUAUCAGCUUGUUUGUGGGGUAGUUGCUUACCAAGGCUUUGACGGGUAGCCGGCCUGGGAGGGUGGCCGGGCACAUUGGGACUAAGAGAGGGCGCAGAGUCGUAAGGGAGGCAGGGGUGGGAAAGAUGGCACAACGAGAGGAAGAGGGAGGAAGGAACGGUGCGUGCGGAAUGACGGCCUGCGGGUAGCAAAAAGCUUUCGGGUAGGACGAAGGGGGAGUGACGGUAACGGGAAAAAAAGCACCGGCUAACUACGUG